UCCUGUACCCUGGGUCCCCUUGACCAGAAGUUCAGUUGGGAGCAGCUUUCAGAGCUGGAAGCAUACUUCAAGGUGGAACCAUACCCAGACCUCCAGGAUCGAAAGAUCAUGGCCACCAGACUGAAACUGAAAGAGGAACAAGUUGAGGCUUAAAGGAUAGCAAAACUGUAUUAAUUUCAAAGACGGAGUUGACCGAUGAGCAGUUCCAGAAGCUAAGAAAGCACUUCGAGACAGACCGUUGCCCUAAUGAGGAAACUCUGCAGGCCUUCGCUGAGGAACUCAAACUACGGAAAGACCUCAUCAGAUCCUGGUUCAUCACUCAGCGUCACAGAAUGAGGGGGUACAGACGGUUAUUUAUGCGCUACUACAGGGAUUGGAAAACGUCCCGUGAGUACUCUACAACAAGAAGUUUCGACAGGCAGAAGAACUCCAAGGAGUGCUCUCAGAAUGACCCUGGACUCCCCGAAGCAUUGGAAGCCUUGAAGAGGCUCAAGCUCUCUUCUGGGUACCAAAGCAGAGAUGGCAUGU
rnacentral:lncRNA from 1 species